rnacentral:rRNA from 1 species
AGCAACGCCGCCUGGGUGAAGAAGGUCUUCGGAUUGUAAAACCCUGUUGUUAGAGAAGAAAGUGCGUGAGAGUAACUGUUCAUGUUUGGACGGUAUCUAACCAGAAAGCCACGGUUAACUACGUGCCAGCAGCCGCGGUAAUA